ensembl:snRNA U6 U6 spliceosomal RNA
AAGCUCACUUCUCAGCACAUAGACUAAAACAGUAGAGUAGCAUGGCCCCUGGGCAAGGCUGACUUGCAAAUUCGUGAAGUGUUCCGUAUUUUA